GUCCAUAUUUCGUGGAUAAGGAAGCACAGGAUAGAAUUUUUCCGGUGGAUAAAUCGUGAACUGCCGACAGUCUCUGUUCUGCAAAAAAAAAAAAACAAAAGAUGUUUAUUCAAAUUAAUAAACAAGAUAUUGACAAACGCUUGAGAUGUCUCGGAAAACUGGCCGGUUGCGAAGAAAAGCACGAAGACAUUCAAAUUGCGGUUGCUCCUGGCUGCCGAUUCUAUGGCGCACGCUUGUCGAGGAGUGAGAUACGGCGGUGAACAACUGGUCUUGUGAAAGAAUAUGCAUCUACUUGGUAUCAACAUUUCUUUAUCUGGAAAAUACAGAAAAGCAAAAAUAUACACUUGCUACACUGCAAUCUCUAGUAGUUCUUUCAAUACUCACAUUCAUCGUCCCACAAAGCUUCUGUAACGUCCUCGUGAUAACUCCGGGUCCGUUGUUACCCCAGACAUCGCCACGGAAGUUCUUUUUGAGAUCGCG